rnacentral:lncRNA from 1 species
AAAAAGUAAAAAAAAAAUAAUCAUCAGGACACUUGAAAGAAGGAGAAAUUGGCAGAUGUGAAAAUAAAGACAAAUCCAAAGGUGAAUCCCCGAUAAUAGUUUAUCCUAAAGGACGAGUGCAAGAAAGAAUUAUAACACUAAUCCAUCAAAAUGAGCUUAGUAAAGAUAAAAAUCAUAUUUACUUUGAACCUUACCCUAUUGUUCCAAAAAUUAUCCUACCUUAAC